GAAAAUGAUUGGCGAUAAGCACUAUACCGAAGCUCUGGAUGUCAUUGGCCUGCGGGCCAGUGGCGUGGUAGAGGAGCAUUCUCAACACGUUGAAGCCAUAAGGUGACUGACGGUGGAGAGUUGAGAAGUGAGCAUGUAGACAUGAGUAACGAUAAGCCAGGUGAAAUCCCUGGCCGCCGUAAACCCGAGGUUUCCUGGGCAAUGCUGGUCAUCCCAGGGUUAGUCGGGACCUAAGCCGAGGCCGAAGGGCGUAGGCGAUGGAAAGCUGGUUAAUAUUCCAGCACCUCCUUUGAUUUAAACUAGAAGGACGCGGAUUCGGAAAGAGCCUGCCGGCUGAAAGUGGCAGGGGCGCAAGCUGACCUGGAUCCUUCGGGUGAAGGGGAUCUCUUAAAGAAUCUGCCAAGAAAAGUUCUAGUGCAUAGACUAAGGAGCCCGUACCGUAAACCGACACAGGUGGGUGAGUAGAGUAUACUAAGGCGCAAGAGUGAAACCCUGUUAAGGAACUCGGCAAUCUAGCCCCGUAACUUCGGGAGAAGGGGUCCCGGGACUUGUCCCGGGCGCAGUGAAAGGGCCCAUCCGACUGUUUAGCAAAAACACAGCAUUCUGCGAACACGAAAGUGGAAGUAUAGGAUGUGACACGUGACCAAUGCCAAAAGAUUAAGGGGAGGUGUUAGCUUCGGCGAAGCUCUGAUCCUAAGUCCUGGUGAAUGUCGGCCGUAACUAUAACGGUCCUAAGGUAGCGAAAUUCCUUGUCGGGUAAGUUCCGACCUGCACGAAUCGUGCAACGAGAUGGGCGCUGUCUCAACAGGGAGCUCAGUGAAAUUGUAUCCGCGGUGAAGAUGCCGCGUACCCGCAGAAGGACGGAAAGACCCUAUAGACCUUAACUGUAAGCUGUCACUGUUUUCUCGAUUUUAAUGCUCAGCAUAAGUGGGAGGCUUUGAACUGACCCUUUAGGGGGUCGGGGAGCCAACAGUGAGAUACCACCCUUUAAUGUUGGGAAAUCUAACCUCUUGCCUUUAUCAGGCAGAGGAACAAUGGCAGCCGGUCAGUUUGACUGGGGCGGUCUCCUCCUAAAGAGUAACGGAGGAGCGCGAAGGUAGGCUCAGCGCGGUUGGCAAUCGCGUUUCGAGUGCAUUGGCAUAAGCCUGCCUAACUGCGAGACCUACAAGUCGAGCAGAGACGAAAGUCGGCCAAAGUGAUCCGGCGGUGGAAUAUGGAAUCGCCGUCGCUCAUCGGAUAAAAGGUACCUUAGGGAUAACAGGCUGAUCGCGCCCAAGAGUUCAUAUCGACGGCGCGGUUUGGCACCUCGAUGUCGGCUCAUCACAUCCUGGGGCUGGAGAAGGUCCCAAGGGUUCGGCUGUUCGCCGAUUAAAGUGGUACGCGAGCUGGGUUCAGAACGUCGCGAGACAGUUCGGUCCUCUAUCCUCUGCGGGCGUAGGAAACUUGAGGGGUUCAAACUCUAGUACGAGAGGACCGAGUUUGACGAGCCUCUGGUGCUCCGGUUGUCGCGUCAGCGGCAUAGCCGGGUAGCUAAGCUCGGAACAGAUAAGCGCUGAAAGCAUCUAAGCGCCAAGCUAUUCCCAAGAUAAAGUUUCCCUGAAGGAUCGUGGAAGACUACCACGUUGAUAGGCUGCUGGUGUAAUCAUGGCAACAUGUUUAGCUUAGCAGUACUAAUAAUCCGUCUGACUUGU
rnacentral:rRNA from 1 species